UUGGUAUCUUAGUGGCGGACGGGUGAGUAACGCGUGGGUAACCUGCCUUACACUGGGGGAUAACACUUAGAAAUAGGUGCUAAUACCGCAUAACAGGGAAAGAUGCAUGUCUUUUCCUUAAAAACUCCGGUGGUGUAAGAUGGACCCGCGUCUGAUUAGCUUGUUGGCGGGGUAACGGCCCACCAAGGCGACGAUCAGUAGCCGGCCUGAGAGGGUGAACGGCCACAUUGGGACUGAGACACGGCCCAAACUCCUACGGGAGGCAGCAG
rnacentral:rRNA from 1 species